rnacentral:rRNA from 1 species
AUUGAACGCUGGCGGCAGGCUUAACACAUGCAAGUCGAGCGGGGUGAUGGUGCUUGCACUAUCACUUAGCGGCGGACGGGUGAGUAUGCUUAGGAAUCUGCCUAUUAGUGGGGGACAACAUCUCGAAAGGGAUGCUAAUACCGCAUACGUCCUACGGGAGAAAGCAGGGGAUCACUUGUGACCUUGCGCUAAUAGAUGAGCUUAAGUCGGAUUAGCUAGUUGGUGGGGUAAAGGCCUACCAAGGCGACGAUCUGUAGCGGGUCUGAGAGGAUGAUCCGCCACACUGGGACUGGGACACGGCCCAGACUCCUACGGGAGGCAGCAGUGGGGAAUAUUGGACAAUGGGGGGAACCCUGAUCCAGCCAUGCCGCGUGUGUGAAGAAGGCCUUAUGGUUGUAAAGCACUUUAAGCGAGGAGGAGGCUCUUUUGGUUAAUACCCAAGAUGAGUGGACGUUACUCGCAGAAUAAGCACCGGCUAACUCUGUGCCAGCCGCCGCCGUAA